CCAGUACAUCAAUAUUUUGGAAGUGACUGAAGAGGAUGACAUAGAAGGGCCCAUUGUCUUCAGCGAUAACUCUAAUGAUUCAUCAGGCGAUAGUUUCCUUCUUGAAGACAUUCUUCAAAAUUUGGCUGAUGUAAUUAGUGAAGAAGAAAGCAGCAUUUUUAACAUUAACAGAUCUUCACUGUGGGAGGGAGCAGUACGUGGAUUGUAUGGAUUUAAGAGAAAUACGUAUUCUCCUAACAAACAUAUGUCCAUUAAGUUUACUGAUGAUGUUGGCCAUUCAGAAGGCGCUGUUGACAUUGGAGGACCUCGCAGAGAAUUCCUGAGACUUUUGAUGAGACAUCUCCAAUCUAGUUCUCUCUUUAUGGGGCCAGAACAUAAAAAAUACUUAGCAGUCAAUAGUACAGCUGUGAGAAGAGAUGACUAAUUCAUUGCAGGGAGAGCUAUUGCUGUUUCCCUUGUACAUGGAGGACCACCACCACAGUUUAUAUCAACUGAGUUGUAUGAUGCCUUGGUCAGUGGACCCGAAAAUGUUAAAUGUGAUUUUAAGAACAUUGAGGAUGAAGACAUAAGGUCAAAAUUACAAAAAAUAUAUGAGGCAAAAACCUUAGGUGAAGCAAGUGAAGCUGUCUUGAAGUUUCAGGAUUUUUUGAGCUUAGCAGGGUGCUUACAUAGGGUGAUUUCUGUUGAAUGUUCUAAACAGAUUGUUGAAGAAGCCACAAAUUGGUAUUUUUUCGGGCACACAAGAGGAGUAUUUGAAAGAUUCAAACAGGGUCUUUGUACACUUGGUGUUCUGGAUGCAAUUCACAAGUUUCCCAAGGCAUUUUACCCAGCCUUAUGCUACACAGAAAAAACACUUACAUGGCAAGAAAUGGACAAAAUGUUUACUAUCAGUUUGGAGUAUCAAGGUAGCAAUAAGCAACAACUGCAGACAAAAAUCAUAGGAUGGUGGUGAGAUUACUUAACAGACAUGC